rnacentral:rRNA from 1 species
UGGGGAAUAUUGCACAAUGGGGGAAACCCUGAUGCAGCGACGCCGCGUGGGGGAUGACGGCCUUCGGGUUGUAAACCUCUUUCAGUAGGGAAGAAGCCUUCGGGUGACGGUACCUGCAGAAGAAGUACCGGCUAACUACGUGCCAGCAGCCGCGGUAAUACGUAGGGAACAAGCGUUGUCCGGAAUUAUUGGGCGUAAAGAGCUCGUAGGUGGUCUGUCACGUCUGCUGUGGAAACGCAAGGCUCAACCUUGCGCGUGCAGUGGGUACGGGCGGACUAGAGUGCAGUAGGGGAGUCUGGAAUUCCUGGUGUAGCGGUGAAAUGCGCAGAUAUCAGGAGGAACACCGGUGGCGAAGGCGGGACUCUGGGCUGUAACUGACGCUGAGGAGCGAAAGCAUGGGGAGCGAACA